GUCCCUGUAGCUCAGUUGGUAGAGCAUGGUGUUUGCAACGCCAGGGUGUGGGUUCGAUUCCCAUGGGGGGCC
rnacentral:tRNA from 1 species